AUCCCGCCCCGCGGUCCCCCCCGGGGCAUGAACCGCCCCCCGGGGGGCCGAAACCGGCAAAACGUGCCAAACGGCCCCGAUCUUACCCAUUUCUCGGCGAUCAAACCGCCGCGCGGCUACCCCCCCAUCCCGAUGCCCCCGGACCGCUGGUCCCGUGGGACCAAACGGAAACGGAAUCGGAGGCCCGGAUCAUGAGUUACGGCCGAAACCGGCAAGGCCUACUAAGCGGCCCCCGAUCUUGCCCAUUUUUCGCCGUUCAAACUGCCGCGCGGCUACCCUCCCAUCCCGAUGCCCCCGGACCGCUGGUCCCGUGGGACGAAACGGAAACGUAAUCGGGGGCCCCGAUCAUGAGUUACGACCCCUUCUUUGCGGCCCCCGAGGCCGUGCGCUAUAGCCCCCCGGGCGCCCCC
rnacentral:lncRNA from 1 species